rnacentral:rRNA from 1 species
UACGGAGGAUGCGAGCGUUAUCCGGAUUUAUUGGGUUUAAAGGGUGCGUAGGCGGGAUGCCAAGUCAGCGGUAAAAAUGCGGUGCUCAACGCCGUCGAGCCGUUGAAACUGGCGUUCUUGAGUGGGCGAGAAGUAUGCGGAAUGCGUGGUGUAGCGGUGAAAUGCAUAGAUAUCACGCAGAACUCCGAUUGCGAAGGCAGCAUACCGGCGCUCUACUGACGCUGAGGCACGAAAGCGUGGGUAUCGAACAGG